AUGCCUGGGGGCGCUGGGGACAGCUGGUGGUGGCCUGGGGCACUUGGGGGAGUGGGAUUGGAUGUCAUGGCCCUGCUGCGCAGGGCUGGGGGCUCUCCCUGCCACCCCGGGACUGGGAAGGGUCUAUGCAGUGACCGGCCAGACCGUCCCUUUGGGGUGAGCGACUGGAGCCCUGUGUGCAUCGCUCUGUGGGGCCCCCCAGCCACGGCCCCCGGCUCUGAGCACCCCAAUAAAGCGGUCUGGAGACCCGAGUGCUCGUGUCUGUCCUUACUCACAGCCUUCUGCCCCCUCCUAACAUGGAGUUGUGCGAGUUUGCUCUGUGUUUUGGGGUUACCCCAAACCGCAAAAGGGUGCAGGAGCUCUCGGCUUGGCCACGGCUGUGGGAGAUGCCCGGGCACUUUGCUCCAUCGUGUGGGAGAAGCCAGCACUGCCGGGACACCGGGCACAGUGGGGACACAGCUGCCAAAAAUCCCCGAGGUUUUGGCUCAGGACCGUGCCCUGCCUGCGAUGCUGGGGCUGGUGAGAGCUGGGGCAGGCAGGGCCCCCCCAGGUGCCCCCAGCUCUCCCCAUCUGCCAGCAGCUCGGAUUUCUUCCAAACCUGCCUUUCCCCCACUGCUGCAAAGGGCUUUAGCCCAGCCUGGGGGAGACAGGGGGCUCAGUCCCAGCCUGGGCUACCGGGAGGAGCGGGGGGGAGCAAGGACCAGUCCCCCAGAACCUGGCAGAGAUGGGUUGGUGUUGCCUCAGGUGUGGGCACACCAGCAAGACACCCCUUCCUUCCCUGCCGCGUGCCUCUCAGGAGGAAAGUGGAGAGACCAAGCAGCGCCCCCCAAAUGGAAACCCCCCCAAACCUCCCUGCAGGGCCCUGCCCAAGUGUGGGGACCGCAUCCACACACCUUGUGCCUGCGAGGUCCCAGACGUCCUCCUGGGUGGAGCACGGAUGUCCACGGGUCACUCCAGGCCAUCGCAGGUCCCCACGAACCCCAGGAAGGCAGCCAGCUCUCCCCGCUGCUCAGUGAGCGCAGACAAAGCAUCCUGCAAGGAGACCGCCAGAAACAGGGGGUGCGGGAUUCGGGGAGCAGAGGGAGAUGGGGAGCGAGCUGCAAACGCCGCGCACCAGCCCCGUGCUCUGGGCACCACCCUGCAUCCCGCCGCUGCCUCCCCAUCCCCAACGACCCCUCCGGUUUGGCACCGAGGGGACGAACCCCGAACCACAGCCGGGGGGUUUCACCCCUUGGCCGGGCUCUGCUCUGCCCCAGCCCCGCUCUGCCGUCCCCCGGCCGGCGCCACGUGGCUGCACCCUCGCUCGCCUUUGUUCCCCCACCGCGGCCGGGCGAUGCCGGGAGCCCUGCGGUGCCCGCGGUGCUGCGGUGCCGACCUCCCCGCAGCCGGGGGGAGCCCCGGCCUCCGCCGCCCCGGCCUUGA
rnacentral:lncRNA from 1 species